rnacentral:misc_RNA from 1 species
UUUCCGUAGGUGAACCUGCGGAAGGAUCAUUCAUAAUAAAGUGUUUUAUGGCACUUUUUAGAAAUCCAUAUCUACCUUCUUUGCAAUGUUAGAUAUCCUCAAUCUUGGCGAGAUUUUUUUAAAUCAACUCUCUCUUGAACUAAUUUGUUUGAAAAAUAUUAUGAAUACUUAAUACAAAAUACAACUUUCAACAACGGAUCUCUUGGUUCCG